rnacentral:rRNA from 1 species
CCUACGGGCGGCUGCAGUGGGGAAUAUUGGGCAAUGGGCGCAAGCCUGACCCAGCAACGCCGCGUGAAGGAAGAAUGCUUUCGGGUUGUUAACUUCUUUUUACAGGGAAGAGUAGAAGACGGUACCUGUCGAAUAAGCCACGGCUAACUACGUGACAGCAGCCGCGGUAAUACGUAGGUGGCAAGCGUUGUCCGGAUUUACUGGGUGUAAAGGGCGUGUAGCCGGGUUGACAAGUCAGAUGUGAAAUCCUGCGGCUUAACCGCAGAACUGCAUUUGAAACUGUUGAUCUUGAGUACUGGAGAGGCAGACGGAAUUCGUAGUGUAGCGGUGAAAUGCGUAGAUAUUAGGAAGAACACCGGUGGCGAAGGCAGUCUGCUGGACAGCAACUGACGGUGAGGCGCGAAAGCGUGGGGAGCAAACAGGAUUAGAUACCCGUGUAGUC